rnacentral:rRNA from 1 species
AACGAACGCUGGCGGCAUGCCUAACACAUGCAAGUCGAACGAGACCUUCGGGUCUAGUGGCGCACGGCUGCGUAACGCGUGGGAACCUGCCCUUAGGUUCGGCCUAACUCCCCGACAGGGGUGCUAAUACCGGAUAGUGUCUUCGGACCAAAGAUUUAUCGACUUUGGAUGGGCCCGCGUUGGAUUAGCUAGUUGGUAGGGUAAAAGCCUACCAAGGCGACGAUCCAUAGCUGGUCUGAGAGGAUGAUCAGCCACACUGGGACUGAGACACGGCCCAGACUCCUACGGGAGGCAGCAGUGGGGAAUAUUGGACAAUGGGCGAAAGCCUGAUCCAGCAAUGCCGCGUGAGUGAUGAAGGCCUUAGGGUUGUAAAGCUCUUUUACCCGGGAUGAUAAUGACAGUACCGGGAGAAUAAGCUCCGGCUAACUCCGUG